AAAAGGCUCCAGGCUGCCUGCAGAAGUCCUUUGACCAUGGUAAGGAUGAGGAGUCUGUGUUUCUUGGCCAUUGUACUCGCAGCCCUAGGCGGGUGCCUUGGCUCCAGCCAGGAUGCGCAGUGCCCUGGGGUCGUUGCAGUGAAGAAGGGCAUCGACUGCCACCCCCAGCCGGGCGCGUCCCAGGAGGCCUGCGAGGCGCGGGGCUGCACCUGGUGCAGCACCGAUGUGCCCAACGCUCCCCGGUGCUUCUUCCCUGAGGACAGUCCCUACGGCUACUCCCAGGCUGGGAACAUUGAGAAGACAGACAAAGGCUAGAGGGUCACACUGAACAAAUGCCAGUCCUUGUCCCUCUUUGGAAAUGAUAUUUCCCUGAUUGUCUUGGAAGUGGAGUUCCAGACAAAGGACAGACUUCGGUUCAGGCUCUAUGACCCCAACAAGCAGAGGUUUGAAGUCCCACUCAAGAUCGAUGGUCCCGGGGUUACCGCUGAGGAAGCCAACUAUGAGGUGGGAUUCUCGAAGGACUCCACGCACUUCACAGUCAAGAGGAAAAGCUCUGGCACCGUGCUGUGGGACAGUCCCCUGGUCGACCUGUUUUUCUCCAACCAGUUCCUUCAGAUCACCACUACUGUGCCAUCCACUUCUGUGUAUGGAUUUGGUGAACAUGAGCACCCGACCUUCAAACACAAC